rnacentral:lncRNA from 1 species
GCGUCUUUCUUCCUAAACGCUGAGGGCUUAAAUGUCGCCAAACCUGACGGGCCGGUGCACCUGAGAUCCACCACCAAGGAUGGGGUUGGAGGAUCCUUGGCAGCUUCCCUCAGAGAUCCCACCAUACUCUGAGUGCAGCAGACAGCAGAGAAGCGCGUUGCUGGAAUCCAGAGAGUUUCGUAACAUGGCAGCCGCUUGCUGAAAGCCCUGCAGAUACAAAACAACACUUAUUUUAAGUCUUGAGAAACAUGUCCUACUAAGUAGAAGAAAAAAAGCAUUUAGUGGUAUCCUCAAGCUGUACGCACAAGGCAAGAAGGAGACGGCCUUAUUCAGUGUGAAGAUUUGUCUUUCACUGCUACGUACAUAAAAGUGCUUGGAAAUGUAUUAUCCAGGGGAUGCAGAAAGAGCUUUUUGACGGGCUGCUUUUCCUGCUCUGUCUCUAGCAGUAACGUCUGGUAAAUGCAGAGACCUGACUGCCUCUUACUGCUACAGGAAAUCCAUCCCUGGCUCCAGGAGAACACUCAAUCCCUGCUGACAGUCUGGAAGAGGGAGAGAAAAUAGAUAGCAGAGCUGCAGCUAUUAAGACCAACAGGCAAAUAUUUUAUUCCAACUCAAUUUUCCCUUCCCAAAUUACUCUGAAAGAAUUUUUUUCUCUUUGUGAGAAUGCGAAUGAGAGUUGUUUGUUUGUUCAUUUUCCUGGGGACACUUCUAUUCAGCUG